AGAGUUUGAUCCUGGCUCAGAAUCAACGCUGGCGGCGUGCCUAACACAUGCAAGUCGAACGAGAAAAUCUCCUUCGGGGGAUAAGUACAGUGGCGAACGGGUGAGUAACGCGUGGGUAACCUGCCCUUGGAAGGGGGAUAACACGAGGAAACUGGUGCUAAUACCGCAUAAGCCUGUUGCAAGAGAUUGCUUCAGGGAAAGUCCUUCGGGAUGUCCAAGGAGGGGCCCGCGUCCGAUUAGCUAGUUGGUGGAGUAAAGGUUUACCAAGGCGACAAUCGGUAACCGGUCUGAGAGGACGGACGGUCACACUGGGACUGAGACACGGCCCAGACUCCUACGGGAGGCAGCAGUGGGGAAUUUUGCGCAAUGGGGGAAACCCUGACGCAGCAACGCCGCGUGAAGGAAGAAGGCUUUCGAGUUGUAAACUUCUGUUUCGGGGGACGAUAAUGACGGUACCCCGGCAGCAAGCCCCGGCUAACUCCGUGCCAGCAGCCGCGGUAAUACGGGGGGGGCAAGCGUUGUUCGGAGUUACUGGGCGUAAAGGGCGCGUAGGCGGUCCGAGAAGUUUCGGGUGAAAGCCCCGGGCUCAACCCGGGAAGGUCCCGG
rnacentral:rRNA from 1 species